UCGUAUGUGUGGGAAUGGGCACAUGUGGUCAUACGUGUGGUUAUAUGUGUGGCUGUGGGUCAUACGUGCGGUAAUAUGUGUGGCUAUGGGUCAGAUGUGUGGUCGUAUGUGUGGGAAUGGGCACAUGUGGUCAUACGUGUGGUUGUAUGUGUGGGAAUGGUCACGUAUGGUCACAUAUGCGGUCAUACGUGUGGUCAUAUGUGUGGGAAUGGGCACAUGUGGUCAUGUAUGUGGUCAUACAUGUGGUCAUAUGUGUGGGAAUGGGCACAUAUGGUCAUGCAUGUGGUCAUACGUGUGGUCAUAUGUGUGGAAAUGGGCACAUAUGGUCACAUAUGUGGUCAUACGUGUGGUCAUAUGUGUGGGAAUGGGCACAUAUGGUCACAUAUGCGGUCAUACGUGUGGUUAUAUGUGUGGUAAUGGGUCAUACAUGUGGUCCUAUGGGUGGUCGUGGGUACGUGUGAUCAUGUAUGCGGUCAUACAUGUGGUUUUAUGUGUGGAAAUGGGCAUAUGUGG
ensembl:lncRNA